GUGGCUUCUCAGGAGGCUGUCUCUGUCCAGCUGUCCUGGGGGAACAUGUGCAGAACUCUGUGGCUGGGAAUCUGGGACCAAAUACUGGCUCCGGAUGGACGGGUUCCUCUUCCAUCUGCAACCCAGAUUCUAAUGCCUUACAUAGGAACCCGCUGAGUGCAGCGAAACCCUUUCCUGUGCAGUCUGUUGGUUCAAACUGCGGAAAUGCACCACGGGAUUCAAGAGUGACAUCAGGAUGGGGUUUGUGAUGAUUUCACCUAGGAGACGUCGCGUUUAGAGUUGAAUCCCAGAGCGAGCGAGCGCUUCCCCCUGUUAAGCAGUGGCUUAGGAUUUGUGAGAGAAAACAGGAAGACAUGACUGGCAGUGACACCGAAGAAUUCAGUAGCUAUAAUGAACACCGUGGUCUGGCAGAGUCUGACAUUUUCCAAGGAACCCGGCUGAGCUCCUGUGGGAGCUGCUCCCUGCACUGAGUGGUCCCUUGGCUGGCAGGCUGCUUUGUGGUCAACCACGUGAUACCUG